GGGGGGAGCAGGUGGGAGCGGAGGGGGGCGUGCGGUUAGUGAACAUGGGAGGGGAGUGAUUUUAUUAGGUUAAUUUAUUUUCAAUUUCGCACUGGUAGUAGGUUUUUUCAAUCUAUGCGCAACAAGAAUCGGAUUAUUUACUCCAUUCCUGAUAGAGUUCGUCGACCAGACGGCACUACAACGGCAGAUGAGCAGAAUCGGUCCACGAAUCUCUAUCACCUACCAGACAGACCAUGAAUAUGAAUAUAGUGUGCCCUGAGGUACAGUUCCAAA
rnacentral:lncRNA from 1 species